GAUGAAGAACGUAGCGAAAUGCGAUAAGUAGUGUGAAUUGCAGAAUUCAGUGAAUCAUCGAAUCUUUGAACGCACAUUGCGCCCCUUGGUAUUCCAUGGGGCAUGCCUGUUCGAGCGUCAUUUGUACCUUCAAGCUUUGCUUGGUGUUGGGUGUUUGUCUCGCCUUUGCGUGUAGACUCGCCUUAAAAUAAUUGGCAGCCGGCGUAUUGAUUUCGGAGCGCGGUACAUCUCGCGCUUUGCACUCAUAACGACAGCGUCCAAAAGUACAUUUUACACUCUUGACCUCGGAUCAGGUAGGGAUACCCGCUGAACUUAAGCAUAUCAAAAGCGGAGGA
rnacentral:misc_RNA from 1 species